rnacentral:rRNA from 1 species
CCUACGGGAGGCAGCAGUGAGGAAUAUUGGUCAAUGGCCGUAAGGCUGAACCAGCCAAGUCGCGUGAAGGAAGAAGGAUCUAUGGUUUGUAAACUUCUUUUAUAGGGGAAUAAAGGUAUCCACGUGUGGAUAUUUGCAUGUACCCUAUGAAUAAGCAUCGGCUAACUCCGGGCCAGCAGCCGCGGUACUACGGAGGAUGCGAGCGUUAUCCGGAUUUAUUGGGUUUAAAGGGUGCGUAGGUUGUUUUUUAAGUCAGCGGUGAAAGUUUGUGGCUCAACCAUAAAAUUGCCGUUGAAACUGGAAGACUUGAGUGUGUUUGAGGUAGGCGGAAUGCGUGGUGUAGCGGUGAAAUGCGUAGAUAUCACGAAGAACUCCGAUUGCGAAGGCAGCUUACUAAGCCAUAACUGACACUGAAGCACGAAAGCGUGGGGAGCAAACAGGAUUAGAUACCCUGGUAGUC